GUACCUAACAAGAAAGCACCGGCUAACUACGUGCCAGCAGCCGCGGUAAAACGUAGGGUGCAAGCGUUGUCCGGAAUUACUGGGUGUAAAGGGAGCGCAGGCGGGAAGACAAGUUGGAAGUGAAAACCAUGGGCUCAACCCAUGAAUUGCUUUCAAAACUGUUUUUCUUGAGUAGUGCAGAGGUAGAUGGAAUUCCCGGUGUAGCGGUGGAAUGCGUAGAUAUCGGGAGGAACACCAGUGGCGAAGGCGGUCUACUGGGCACCAACUGACGCUGAGGCUCGAAAGCAUGGGUAGCAAACAGGAUUAGAUACCCUGGUAGUCCAUGCCGUAAACGAUGAUUAUUAGGUGUUGGGGGAUUGACCCCCUCAGUGCCGCAGUUAACACAAUAAGUAAUCCACCUGGGGA
rnacentral:rRNA from 1 species